UUUGUUUGUCCAUGUGUAGUAUUCUCCUCUCCAAGGUAAUUCAGUCAGUCCAGUUUGUUGCAAACAGCUGUUGAAGUCUAGAGUUUCAGGGAGUCUGAUUGGCUUGGUAGAUUGUCUAUCUUUAUCACAUAGAACUGCAUUGAAGUCCCCAGCAACAACCCAAGGCCCCUGUAUUCCUGUUGCCAGUACUUGUAAACUGGUCCAUAAUGAUCUUCUUUGUUCCAG
rnacentral:lncRNA from 1 species